CCUACGGGUGGCAGCAGUGGGGAAUAUUGCACAAUGGGCGCAAGCCUGAUGCAGCCAUGCCGCGUGUGUGAAGAAGGCCUUCGGGUUGUAAAGCACUUUCAGCGGGGAGGAAGGCGUUAAGGUUAAUAACCUCGGCGAUUGACGUUACCCGCAGAAGAAGCACCGGCUAACUCCGUGCUAGCAGCCGCGGUAAUACGGAGGGUGCAAGCGUUAAUCGGAAUUACUGGGCGUAAAGCGCACGCAGGCGGUCUGUCAAGUCGGAUGUGAAAUCCCCGGGCUCAACCUGGGAACUGCAUUCGAAACUGGCAGGCUAGAGUCUUGUAGAGGGGGGUAGAAUUCCAGGUGUAGCGGUGAAAUGCGUAGAGAUCUGGAGGAAUACCGGUGGCGAAGGCGGCCCCCUGGACAAAGACUGACGCUCAGGUGCGAAAGCGUGGGGAGCAAACAGGAUUAGAUACCCCUGUAGUC
rnacentral:rRNA from 1 species